GACGAACCGAGCGAACGUUAUUCGGAAUCACUGGGCUUAAAGGGCGCGUAGGCGGGCCGUCAAGUCAGGGGUGAAAGCCCCCAGCUCAACUGGGGAAGUGCCUUUGAUACUGACGGCCUCGAGGAAGAUAGGGGCGUGCGGAACUUCCGGUGGAGCGGUGAAAUGCGUAGAUAUCGGAAGGAACACCGGUGGCGAAAGCGGCGCGCUGGAUCUCUUCUGACGCUGAGGCGCGAAAGCCAGGGGAGCGAACGGG
rnacentral:rRNA from 1 species